GAAAAAGGGUGAAAGAGAAACUUGGCGACCUCCCGGAGGAGUUCGCGAAGCGACCAGGAGCGUGUGCCCAUCGUCCUCACCCGGCACCCAAUUCCACCACAGAGUCGGGAUCUCGUCGGUGAUCGUGAUGGGGUGCUUUUAUUUAUUUCUCUCUUUGAUUUUCAAAAAAUGUCUGUGUGACUGUCCCUAUCUUAAGGGGAAGUUGAAAGUGGGGGCGGGGGUGCUCAAUGAGAAACGUUGCCUUGUGUGUAGUUGUUUGGAGCACACUGCAAAUUAUAUUGGCAUCUCUUUCCAAAAGUCACUUUGAUUCAACUUCGAUAGCUUUCUCGUAAAUCGCACGUUUAGGUGGUGAGAGGUGGAUGAGGAAACAGGCACCAGUGCAGCUGAUUUGACCUCCAGUGGGAUAGAUACGAUUAGCACCAGGAUCAUGUCUCAGUUUGAACCCAGAUCUGAACAGAAUUAAGACGAACGAGCUUUCACAAUUGCAGCAGAUGAAGAUCCAUUGGUAAAUCGAUCAGGAUUUUUGGCCUGCCCUCCAAAGAAAAGGAGCGGAAAGAAUGUCGGAACGGGCCGCGGAUGACGUCAGGGGGGAGCCGCGCCGCGCGGCGGCGGCGGCGGGCGGAGCAGCAGCUGCGGCCGCCCGGCAGCAGCAGCAGCAGCAACAGCCUCCGCAGCCCCAGCGGCAGCAGCAGCCGCCACCGCCGCCACGGCGCCCACGGCCGGAGGACGGCGGGCCCGGCGCCGCCUCCACCUCGGCCGCCGCAAUGGCGACGGUCGGGGAGCGCAGGCCUCUGCCCAGUCCUGAAGUGAUGCUGGGACAGUCGUGGAAUCUGUGGGUUGAGGCUUCCAAACUUCCUGGGAAGGACGGGACAGAAUUGGACGAAAGUUUCAAGGAGUUUGGGAAAAACCGCGAAGUCAUGGGGCUCUGUCGGGAAGACAUGCCAAUAUUUGGUUUCUGUCCAGCCCAUGAUGAUUUCUACUUGGUGGUGUGUAACGACUGUAAUCAGGUUGUCAAACCGCAGGCAUUUCAAUCACAUUAUGAAAGAAGACAUAGCUCAUCCAGCAAGCCGCCUUUGGCUGUUCCUCCCACAUCAGUAUUUUCCUUCUUCCCUUCUCUGUCCAAAAGCAAAGGAGGCAGUGCAAGUGGAAGUAACCGUUCUUCCAGUGGAGGUGUUCUUAGCGCAUCCUCAUCAAGUUCCAAGUUGUUGAAAUCACCCAAAGAGAAACUGCAGCUCAGGGGGAACACCAGGCCAAUGCAUCCCAUUCAGCAAAGUAGAGUUCCCCAUGGUAGAAUCAUGACACCCUCUGUGAAAGUGGAGAAGAUUCAUCCGAAAAUGGAUGGCACACUACUGAAAUCUGCGGUGGGGCCAACCUGUCCUGCUACUGUGAGUUCCUUAGUCAAGCCUGGCCUUAACUGCCCGUCAAUACCAAAGCCAACCUUGCCUUCACCUGGACAGAUUCUGAAUGGCAAAGGGCUUCCUGCACCGCCCGCUCUGGAAAAGAAACCUGAAGACAAUUCCAAUAAUAGGAAAUUUUUAAAUAAGAGAUUAUCAGAAAGAGAGUUUGAUCCUGACAUCCACUGUGGGGUUAUUGAUCUCGACACCAAGAAGCCCUGCACCCGGUCUCUGACAUGCAAGACACAUUCCUUAACCCAGCGCAGGGCUGUCCAGGGUAGAAGAAAACGAUUUGAUGUGUUAUUAGCCGAGCACAAAAACAAAACCAGGGAAAAGGAAUUGAUUCGCCAUCCGGACUCUCAGCAACCACCGCAGCCUCUCAGGGACCCGCAUCCCGCCCCUCCUAGAACGUCACAGGAGCCGCACCAAAAUCCUCAUGGAGUGAUUCCUUCCGAAUCAAAGCCUUUUGUAGCUAGUAAACCUAAACCUCACACCCCCAGUCUUCCAAGGCCUCCAGGCUGCCCUGCUCAGCAAGGUGGGAGUGCCCCCAUUGACCCUCCUCCAGUCCAUGAAUCUCCACACCCUCCCCUGCCUGCCACUGAGCCAGCUUCUCGGUUAUCCAGUGAGGAGGGCGAAGGCGAUGACAAAGAAGAGUCUGUUGAAAAACUGGACUGUCAUUAUUCAGGUCAUCAUCCUCAGCCAGCAUCUUUUUGCACAUUUGGGAGCCGGCAGAUUGGAAGAGGCUAUUACGUGUUUGACUCCAGGUGGAAUCGACUUCGCUGCGCCCUCAAUCUCAUGGUGGAGAAGCAUCUGAAUGCACAGCUAUGGAAGAAAAUCCCACCAGUGCCCGGUACCACCUCACCCAUCUCCACACGUAUUCCUCACCGGACAAACUCUGUGCCGACAUCACAAUGUGGAGUCAGCUAUCUGGCAGCAGCCACUGUCUCCACAUCUCCAGCCCUGCUCUCAUCUACCUGCAUCUCCCCAAAUAGCAAAUUGGUACCAGCUCAUGGAACCACACUAAAUGCACAGCCUGCUGCUUCAGGGGCUAUGGAUCCUGUGUGCAGUAUGCAAUCCAGACAAGUGUCCUCUUCAUCCUCAUCCCCUUCCACGCCCUCUGGCCUUUCCUCGGUUCCUUCCUCCCCUAUGUCCAGGAAACCUCAGAAAUUGAAAUCCAGCAAAUCUUUGAGGCCCAAGGAGUCUUCUGGUAACAGCACUAACUGUCAAAAUGCCAGUAGCAGUACCAGUGGCGGCUCAGGAAAGAAACGCAAAAACAGUUCCCCACUGUUGGUUCACUCUUCCUCCUCCUCUUCCUCUUCUUCUCAUUCCAUGGAGUCUUUUAGGAAAAACUGUGUGGCUCACUCUGGGCCUCCCUACCCCUCAACGGUAACAUCUUCCCAUAGCAUCGGCCUCAACUGUGUGACGAAUAAAGCAAAUGCGGUGAACAUCCGGCAUGACCAGUCAGGGAGGGGCCCCCCAACCGGGAGCCCUGCUGAAUCCAUCAAGAGGAUGAGUGUGAUGGUGAACAGCAGUGAUUCUACUCUUUCUCUUGGGCCAUUCAUUCACCAGUCCAAUGAACUGCCUGUCAACUCCCACGGCAGUUUUUCCCACUCACACACUCCUCUAGACAAACUCAUAGGAAAGAAAAGAAAGUGCUCACCCAGCUCGAGCAGCAUCAACAACAGCAGCAGCAAACCCACAAAGGUUGCCAAAGUGCCAGCCAUGAACAACGUCCACAUGAAACACACAGGCACCAUCCCAGGGGCACAAGGACUGAUGAACAAUUCUCUCCUUCAUCAGGUAGGAAAUGGACUGUGAGCCCCAUGGGAAUGCCCAUUUCUUCUCCCUUAAGAUCUUUUGCCAGCUCAGAAAUGUGUUUGGUUGGGUUGGUUGGUUGGUUUGUAAACAGAUAUUCAGCUUCAUGGUAUCUUUUUAAAAAAAAAAAAAAAAA
rnacentral:sRNA from 1 species